rnacentral:lncRNA from 1 species
CCUCAGUGUGUUUGAAGAGUGCAAGUCAUUUAUUUUGUAGAGUGUCCCUCAACUUGACUUCUCUGACGUUUCUCCAUGAUGGUGUCCAGGUCGUGUUGGGCAGGGAUACCACACCUAUAGGAUGCAUCAAAUCAGAAGGCACAUGAUGUCUUCAUGUCCCUCUCCUGGCAGUGUCCACUUCAUCAACCUGAGUAAGGUGGUCUCUGCCAAGAUUCUCCUCUGUAAACUUUCUAUUUUUCCCUUUGUUAUCAGUAUUUGUCUUGUGGGGAAAUAACUCUGAGGAUAUCUAAAUGUUCUAAUUCUCAUCAAACUUUGACCUGCUAUGUUAGCAUUUACUGAUGAUUUUGCCUGAAACAAUUAUUACUGUCAGGGUAUGCUUUUUAGAUUUCUGGGGCUGCCUU